GGAAAAAAAAAUCCGUCGAUAAUUCUGUCGAAAAAAUUAAUUCUUUUCGUGAAAAAUGGUUACAGGCGGAAAAUCCGUCUAUAAUUAAAUGAACAAAAAUGCUACGUUUUAUUAAAUUAUUACAGACAAAAAAUCCGUCUGUAAUUUAAAAUUUUCUGUCGAAAAAUAUUAAUGUAAACCUAACCUAUCCCCUCUCUCUCCCCGUGGCAGCCCCCAUUCAAACUGUGUUUUGAGCUCCAUUCACAAAUCAAAUACGAGCUUCUUCCUCUCUCCCUAGCAGGAGCUACUUCUUCUCUCCGUGGCUGCUACUUCUGCUUCCGCCGCGGCCGUUGCCGCUGCCGCCGCCGCUUGCAUCGCACAAUCUCUCUCUGUCAUCCCUUGCGUCCUAUGAGAUCCCUCCGCCGCCGCUCUCGUCGCGUCUACUCCCAUCGUCGCAGAGCUCUCUCUGCCGCCGCUCUCAUCGCAUCUGCUCCCUCUGGCGCCUCUUACAUCUAAUCUCAACUCGCUCUCUCAGUUCUUCUUGUAACAAUCUCAAAUUUCAAUGUUACAGCUCAAGAUCUUGUUGACAUUAUGCUUCUAAAUUUGCUUCUAAAUUUCCGAUAUCUUCACUCUUAAUGAUGGAUCUGUAACACCUCUACUCAAGAGCAUGACAGUGCAUAAUAUGUAUGUUGGAGAGGGUUCAGACUUCCAAUGUAAUAUAUAAAAGGGUGGCUGAGCAGUGGGGUUCUCUUGGUGACUUGACUGCAUCUAUUGCAUCAAAUGCAGCUGCCCCAGCUCGUGCUCAUCUACGUGCCAUAAGAAGUAGGCAAAGAGGUGAAACAGAAG